AAAGACUCAACUUGUCAUGUAGCACAUUAUAUGGAAGUUGUGAACCCAUUGGAACCAAAAUUUGUCUCUUUUUUCGUGCCAAAAUCCAGAGUAAUUUACAUGACUGCUCUAUUAAAAAUGUUGGAAAUCAAUCAAGUCCAAGCCUCUGGCUCCUCUUGGUUUUGCUCAAAGUUCCCAUGCUACCAAUGACUUCCUUGAAGUUUCUGUAGCCCCUGACCAUAAAAAUGUUAUGCAGAUGCUAAAGAUCAUUUGAAUCACCUUUUUUGGCAGCUAGCAAAUGUGUGUUCAAUAUAUUACACAGCACUCAAAGUCACGGUUUCUGAUCACCAUCCGAUGAGUUCUUACCAUAAACCUAUUAGUGAUAUCUCUUAAUUGAUUAUUAGGAUAUAUCUUGAUUGAUCUUUCAUAUUCUAGUAUCUCAUUAGUGAUUUAGUUUCUAUUGUGAUUAGGAGAAGAUCACAUUCCUGUAUUAGCUGAAACUUUCCUUAUUUGUCGUUUGCUCUCUCGUAUAAAUAUAUACACAUACAUAUUAAUAAAAUAACAUCUCUCCAACAGGAA
rnacentral:misc_RNA from 1 species